CCUACGGGCGGCAGCAGUGGGGAAUAUUGGACAAUGGGCGAAAGCCUGAUCCAGCCAUGCCGCGUGUGUGAAGAAGGCCUUCGGGUUGUAAAGCACUUUCAGUGGGGAAGAAAGCCUUGGGGCUAAUACCCUCGAGGAAGGACAUCACCCACAGAAGAAGCACCGGCUAACUCCGUGCCAGCAGCCGCGGUAAUACGGAGGGUGCGAGCGUUAAUCGGAAUUACUGGGCGUAAAGCGCGCGUAGGCGGUCUGAUAAGCCGGUUGUGAAAGCCCCGGGCUCAACCUGGGAACGGCAUCCGGAACUGUCAGGCUAGAGUGCAGGAGAGGAAGGUUGAAUUCCCGGUGUAGCGGUGAAAUGCGUAGAGAUCGGGAGGAAUACCAGUGGCGAAGGCGGCCUUCUGGACUGACACUGACGCUGAGGUGCGAAAGCGUGGGUAGCAAACAGGAUUAGAUACCCGUGUAGUC
rnacentral:rRNA from 1 species